AAACUUAAAGGAAUUGACGGGGACCCGCACAAGCAGCGGAGCGUGUGGUUUAAUUCGAUGCAACGCGAAGCACCUUACCUGGGUUCAAUCGGAAUUGCACCACCCGUAAUGGGGUGUCCCGCAAGGGCGGUUUCGACGGUGCUGCAUGGCUGUCGUCAGCUUGUGCCGUGAGGUGUUGGGUUAAGUCCCCUAACGAGCGCAACCCCCGAUGCCGGUUACCAAUCCGGCGUGACUGCCCCGCACAACGGGGAGGAAGGUGGGGAUGAUGNCAAGUCAGCACGGCCCUUACAUCCAGGGCGACACACACGCUACAAUGGCCAGGACAACGGGCUGCGACCCGGCGACGUGAAGCCAAUCCCUAAAACCNGGUCUCAGUUCAGAUGGUAGGCUNCAACUCGCCUGCCNGAAGUCGGAGUUGCAAGUANCCACUAAACAGCACACAGCGGUGAANUCGUUCCCAGUUCUAGUACACACCGCCCGUCACACCACGAGAGCGGGANCNNGNGAAGCCGUGAGANNNNNCGCAAGGACCUNCAUGNCGAGGGUGGAGCUAGUGAUUGGGNNNNAGUCGUAACAA
rnacentral:rRNA from 1 species